UGUAAACAGUAACUAGCUGAGUAAUGAACUGGUGCAGAAAACUGUUAGUGCUUUUAUUAAUUACCUGUUUUGACUGUGUUGCAGUUAUUCUCGUAGAACCAGCCUGUCUCGUCUUGACUUGUAAUUCCAUGACGUCACACCACACACUGAUCACUUGUGAGCCGACUUGCCCUGCAGGAUACUACGCUGAGCCUCUGGUAGCGACUCCUAUCGUCUCGUGAUGUCUAGAUCACGUCUUGCCUCUAUGGAAGUGCAUAAAUUGUCAACAAAUAGUGACUGCGGCUGGAGGGCAAGUAGUUUUACACCAAGACAUAUGCAAGUGCAGGGGAAUAUGAAUAAUCUCAUCUCUGCCCUAUUGGUUACAUAAAGCACCGCUGCAAUACAAGAUGGGUCGUUGUAAUUGUAUACUUAAAGUGAUACUAAAUUAUACCAAUUUUCAGUG